rnacentral:rRNA from 1 species
AACGAACGCUGGCGGCAUGCCUAACACAUGCAAGUCGAACGAGACCUUCGGGUCUAGUGGCGCACGGGUGCGUAACGCGUGGGAACCUGCCCUUAGGUUCGGAAUAACAGUUAGAAAUGACUGCUAAUACCGGAUAAUGUCUUCGGACCAAAGAUUUAUCGCCUUUGGAUGGGCCCGCGUAAGAUUAGGUAGUUGGUGGGGUAAAGGCCUACCAAGCCGACGAUCUUUAGCUGGUCUGAGAGGAUGAUCAGCCACACUGGGACUGAGACACGGCCCAGACUCCUACGGGAGGCAGCAGUGGGGAAUAUUGGACAAUGGGCGAAAGCCUGAUCCAGCAAUGCCGCGUGAGUGAUGAAGGCCUUAGGGUUGUAAAGCUCUUCUACCAGGGAUGAUAAUGACAGUACCUGGAGAAUAAGCUCCGGCUAACUCCGUGCCAGCCGCCGCAGUAAAAC